AUGGGAAGAGCCCAAACCAACAAGCUUGCUUGUUGGGGUUGUAGGACACUCUAUACGGAGUUACAAAGGACGACAUUAGACGAAUCAUCUGGAAAGAUGAAUCAAAGAAGGUAAUAAUCCUGUAGUCGAAAAUGUUGUCUCUCUUGAGUGGAUCCUGAGUACGACGGAGCACGUGAAAUUCCGUCGGAAUCUGGGAGGACCAUCUCCUAAGGCUAAAUACUCUCUAGUGACCGAUAGUGAACCAGUACCGUGAGGGAAAGGUGAAAAGCACCCCGGAAGGGGAGUGAAAUAGAACCUGAAACCGUGUGCUUACAAGUAGUCAGAGCCCGUUAAUGGGUGAUGGCGUGCCUUUUGUAGAAUGAACCGGCGAGUUACGAUUUGAUGCAAGGUUAAGCAGUAAAUGUGGAGCCGUAGCGAAAGCGAGUCUGAAUAGGGCGUUUAGUAUUUGGUCGUAGACCCGAAACCAGGUGAUCUACCCUUGGUCAGGUUGAAGUUCAGGUAACACUGAAUGGAGGACCGAACCGACUUACGUUGAAAAGUGAGCGGAUGAACUGAGGGUAGCGGAGAAAUUCCAAUCGAACCUGGAGAUAGCUGGUUCUCUCCGAAAUAGCUUUAGGGCUAGCCUCAAGUGAUGAUUAUUGGAGGUAGAGCACUGUUUGGACGAGGGGCCCCUCUCGGGUUACCGAAUUCAGACAAACUCCGAAUGCCAAUUAAUUUAACUUGGGAGUCAGAACAUGGGUGAUAAGGUCCGUGUUCGAAAGGGAAACAGCCCAGACCACCAGCUAAGGUCCCAAAAUAUAUGUUAAGUGGAAAAGGAUGUGGCGUUGCCCAGACAACUAGGAUGUUGGCUUAGAAGCAGCCAUCAUUUAAAGAGUGCGUAAUAGCUCACUAGUCGAGUGACACUGCGCCGAAAAUGUACCGGGGCUAAACAUAUUACCGAAGCUGUGGAUUGUCCUUUGGACAAUGGUAGGAGAGCGUUCUAAGGGCGUUGAAGCAUGAUCGUAAGGACAUGUGGAGCGCUUAGAAGUGAGAAUGCCGGUGUGAGUAGCGAAAGACGGGUGAGAAUCCCGUCCACCGAUUGACUAAGGUUUCCAGAGGAAGGCUCGUCCGCUCUGGGUUAGUCGGGUCCUAAGCUGAGGCCGACAGGCGUAGGCGAUGGAUAACAGGUUGAUAUUCCUGUACCACCUAUAAUCGUUUUAAUCGAUGGGGGGACGCAGUAGGAUAGGCGAAGCGUGCGAUUGGAUUGCACGUCUAAGCAGUAAGGCUGAGUAUUAGGCAAAUCCGGUACUCGUUAAGGCUGAGCUGUGAUGGGGAGAAGACAUUGUGUCUUCGAGUCGUUGAUUUCACACUGCCGAGAAAAGCCUCUAGAUAGAAAAUAGGUGCCCGUACCGCAAACCGACACAGGUAGUCAAGAUGAGAAUUCUAAGGUGAGCGAGCGAACUCUCGUUAAGGAACUCGGCAAAAUGACCCC
rnacentral:rRNA from 1 species